rnacentral:rRNA from 1 species
UUAGGAAUAUUCGUCAAUGGGGGAAACCCUGAACGAGCAAUGCCGCGUGAGUGAUGAAGGUCUUUGGAUUGUAAAACUCUGUUGUAUGGGAAGAAUGUACAGAUUAGGAAAUGAAUUUGUAUUGACGGUACCAUACUAGAAAGCCCCGGCUAACUACGUGCCAGCAGCCGCGGUAAUACGUAGGGGGCGAGCGUUAUCCGGAAUUAUUGGGCGUAAAGCGUGCGUAGGCGGCAUGGUAAGUUUAAGAUCAAAGCCUGGGGCUCAACUCCAGUAAGUCUUAAAAACUAUCAAGCUAGAGUGUGGUAGAGGCAAACGGAAUUUCUAGUGUAGCGGUGAAAUGCGUAGAUAUUAGAAGGAACACCAGUGGCGAAGGCGGUUUGCUAGGCCAUAACUGACGCUGAGGCACGAAAGCGUGGGUAGCAAAUAGG